rnacentral:lncRNA from 1 species
UGGCUCAUAAUAGACAUAUAGUAAAUGCUAAUGAAAAAAUUGACUGUAUUCAUUCCUUUAACACAAUUUAUAGAGUGCUUAUGAAGUUCCCAGGCCUAGGCUAGACUUUGAGAAUGGCAAGACGAAAAUAUGAUAAAAUAUUAUUUUUACUUUCAGGUAGCUCACAUACUAAGCACAAAAACUGAUAUUUAAACAAAUAAUUAUAGUAAUAUACUAUCGAUUAAUUUGGGUCAGUGUGUAAUACUAUGAGAGUGCAAAGGAAAAUACUUGUGAGGUCAGGGAAAUUUUUUCCCUGUGUAGUACUGAGGAAGUUCUUUUGCACAUGGAGAUCAGCAAGUUAUUCCAUAAUGGUUCAUGUAUGUCAUUUGUUCUUAAACCAAUCUGCUUGAGUACAAACCUUAGUAAGUGCUAUUGGGCAAGUUACUUACUCUCUCUGUGCCUCAUUUUUUUUUUUGUUUGUUUGCAAAAUGUGGGUACUAAAUGGACCCACCUACCUCAUAGGAUUGUUGUGAGGAUGAAAUGUGGCAACAUUUUAGAAUAAUGUCUUGCACUCAAUAAAUGCUAGCACUAUCAUUAUUUCUCUUACAGUUAUUAUUGUGGUCCUAAGGAAAUCAGUCAUCUCUCUAACUUUGGGAUGGAUCUUCUCGAAGAUGGAAUACAAGCUUACUGCUCUAGUUCUGCAUCCCUGCUUAUGCUUGUUCUGCAUCCCUGCUUAUGCUUGUUGCUUAAAGAUUUGUGAUCAGGUCGCUUGAAGUUAAAAGAGAUUGGAACCUCUCUUUGGAUUGUUUGGAGAGCCUCAAUUUUAAAGAUUUGAAAAGUUAGAAAGUAAGCAACAAAGAUAUCCUAGAGUUGGUUGCUGAAAGUGAUAGAGAGAGACUUCCUGAUUCCUAGGAGCUGGAGAGAGGAAAGAAACAUUUAUUCUCCUCAACCUAAUAGUAGGAGAACUGUCAUGCUACAAUUCAGUUUUCUCAACCAGAUGAGAAAAACAGACUCAAAAGCUUUCCAGUGCCUUGAAUGUUUAGUGAAAGAUAUGAAUCUGAUGGAGUCCCCUGGUCCCAGUUUGUAGCCUCAUUAUGCUUUCUCCUGGAAUUUUCCAAAUUCCUCUUGCACUCACAGAGAUUGGUGAGUACAGUCCUGGCUUAUCACGGCCAAUUCCACCAUAUGUUCCCUUCUGGGAAUUUUCACCAACUCCUGAAUAAAUGAUACAACUCCUCAGUUGUAAUUUCACAACCGCUUAUGUCAUCUCCCCUCACCCCACCCUUCUCAAGCUUGAAAGUUGCAUUUUUCUACUCUUCAAUCAAUUCCCAAAUUUAGAAUUACUUUUUUUUUUUUUUUGCUUUAUCUCUCCCACGUUUGCAAAUGUAUUUCAUUCCAGGGAUGGAGCAGUCUGACAUAACUAACCUAUCUUGCCUGGAGAGAGGACUCUUGGUAGCAAUGUCCCUUUGGACUAUCCUAGUAUUUCUAGUUUCUUCUUGAUUUAGAGUCUGUCACUGUGCAUGUGGACCCAUUGUUCUUAGAAAGAAAUUUGAUAUUCUCAAGCAGCCCCAAACACCUUCUCUGGCUGCCUCCCAUUUCUCUUUCCCUUUUCUCACUCCAUAGCCUCCAAGGACUAACUCCACACAUUUCCCUACACUUCUUGGCCUAUCACUUGCUUUACUCCUCCAUCCUGGCCUCCACUUGUCCCUCUCCUGGUGACCCCAAGCUGUAAAAUGCUGCAGUAUCUCUGGCUUGGGUUCCUUAUCUGGCCCCAAAUUCUUUUCUUCUCCUUGUUAAGACACUGAGGAAGAAAGAAUGUUCAUUUAUAAUGUUUUACUUCUCUAUCUUUUUCCUCCAGCCUCCUUUAGAUGACAUUUUUGCUCAGGCUGCCAUAAAAUUGAAAUGUCCUUUUCUCACUUGCCCUAGGAAGUGCGGCAUUUCCCCAGAAAUAGUUAGGAUCUGAUCCUUAGGUUGUUGCAUAUGAUGAGAAAUAGUUUAAACAAAGUUGAUGAUGGUCUGUAUAUCAAAAGAGAGAGAAGUGGGAGGCACUGGCUGCUUUGAAGACAGUAUCCUCCUUCCAAAAUGGAAUUUCUGGCACGAUCUCCAAGUUCUUGUGUUCCCUUUUUGCUUUUAUUCCCAGGACUGUAGGAAAGAGUGGUUUCACAUUAUUUAGGCUUCUUACCACUACUUUGUUUAUCCUACCAUGCUUUGUAACAUGCUUUAAGGGAAACCUGAAUAUCACCCGAAGCUUGAGGAUCAGGAAGGUGUGUUUAGUGACUAUUGUAAUUCCUCUGAACAAGAAAUAAAAUCAUGUUCAUAAUAGUAUCGUACUGGGUGUGCUUUUGUAUAUUUCGAGAGCACCCUCACACAUAUUUUGACUUGAAUUUAAAACUGUUGACCUACCUUCUUGCCCAGGUGCUAGCCUCCAGCUGAAUGGCUACAAUGUGGUCAAGAGAAGAUCCACUUCUACCUCUUAAAGUAAACAUUUGAAACCAACAGAUAAAGAGGGCCCGGGUAUAUAAUUCUUUCUGGAAUAUAGGGAUACUAGGAAAAAAUAUCAAAGGAAUUAAAGGUUAAAUGGUAGAUAUUUUUUGCAUAUAAAUGCCACACAAUAAAUGGUAGUAUUAUUGUUAUAAGAAGACUUUCACGUGUUUCUUCAUUUGGUUUUCACACCUAUACCUUGAGGAUCACUGUCGUAUUAUGACAAGAGAUUGGGUUCAGAAAGUCCUAGGUGUUGGCCUGCCCAUAUUAGGAAUCCAGGAAGUAUUGAAGUUGGGACUCAAAGCUAGGUCACCAAAUUUUGCUCUUUCCAUCAUAUCACACUGACUCUUAUAGAGUUCUUUUUUGCUUUGCUUAUUUAGCUUACAGAUAUUUAUUGAGCACCAUCUGUAUGCCAAGUACUGGAUUAAGUAUUGAGGAUACAGAUCUAUGUAGACCUAGAAUCUUCCCUCGGUUCUUUCCUUAGAAUGCUUCAGGCCCAUUUCUCAUGUUUGUGGAAAAAUGUGUGUUUGCAAUACUUUGAAACCUGAAUUUUUGUGAGAUGCUUAACUUGUGUUUCUUCCUUUUAUACUAACAUAAGCCAAGAACUUUAUAAGGCACUAAAAAUAUUUUAUGAACAGUUUAUGAGACCAAGUAUAAAUGUGAUCAUUCAUUUUACAAUAGAGUUCACAUAUAGGUUAGAAGGAAUUAAGAAACUGCUGACAGAUAGGCUGAAUGUUGGGAAGUAGAUAUAUGCAAAAUAUAUAGAUAAAUACACGUGUGUAUAGAUGUAUAUGCAUAUGCACAUAUGUAGCUAUGUUUCAAAGCUAACAUGGUUAGUAACCAAUUUUGUCUGAAUAUUUUGCUUUCUUUGUGGAUAAAUAAGUUUAGUUUAUUCUUGUAAAUGGUGCUUCCCAAACAGGAUUCUAUUCAAGCAACUCUUGGUUUAUUGCAGUGAUGGGGAGCCUAGUGAUCUUGACUUGGAUAACCGGUGUGUCUACUGUCAUCACUUGUCACAAAGACCUUGGUGUAGCAUAUGCCCUGGGGGGCGGCUCAUAGGGUGAAAGGUUUUUAGUAAUGGAGUCACCCAGCUGUUUGAACAGCUGUAUUAGCAGAGCUGUUUGGACAAUUUUACACAAUAAUAUUUUGUGACAAAACUUUGGUAUGUAAAAUGACCAUUGUUUCUCAAAGUUACUUUUAAAAAAAAAAAACAGAAAAAACCCCAGAAACAGAACAUGAAUUCAAAGGGGUUCACAAUUUAAUUGAAAAAAUGAAGUAUAUCCUUUUGAAAUGUUAUGGUAAAACAUAAAUGGCUUUUGCUUCAUCCCAGACAUUCAUUUGAAGCAAGGCAUUCUGCUGGAGAAGAAACCCAUAAGGGCUUCUUUAAAUAGGAUACACUUUGAUUGUGAUCCAAGGAAGAACUGAUAGUGAGAGAUUAAAACAUUUCCAGGGUAAUUUACAGCUUCCUGCAUUUUUUAAGGUUACUUUAUUUUAUGCCUUAGUGGUCAGAGAUAAUUUAUAUAUGCCAUGGCAGAAAGAAGUAUGGCCAGAGGUUUUCUCUGCAGCUCAGAGUCUUGCUUGAUUUAAGAGAAGAGAUGCUAUCUCAUGCUGUACCAAAUGGAGCCAAGACCUGUAGAUAUUACACAGCAGCCAAGUCUGUCCACAUAUGUUGACAAGUUUUACAGGCAAUAUAUUUCUGAGCUCUUGAUCAAGAUAAUAGUAAUAAUAAUGACAACAACAAUAAUAAUAAGGAUAGAAGGGAAAAAAAGGAGGAAGUAGAACUGCUACUGCACCAGAAAUGCUAAGAUUAUCAUCAGCAAUUAAUAACACUAAGAAUCCUAUAAUUCCAGUGUAUAUGUUAACUAGAUUUUACUCAGCAAAUGUUUUUUGAAAGGGUACCAUGUGCCAACCACUGUGCUAUACACUGAAAGGUUAGGUGAAUCAGAUUCAAUUCUAUAUGGUCUAGUUGGGGAAUUCUCCUGUGGGACUAAUUUACCAAAACCAAAACACAGCAACAUCAAAUGUGUCCUAGGGGCACAAAGAAAAGCACUGUAGGAACAAAACAUAGGUAUUGUAUUAGAUUGAGGGAUUGAGAAAGUCCAUAUGUAUAUUUAUAUACAGGAAGUGUGUUUUUUGAUAAAUGGAUAUGGAAAAGGGAAAAGUCAUCCUAGCAAAAUAUGCCAUGAACAAAGGUGUUGAAAUGGGAGUAUAUAGAGACUCUGUCUGCAGAAUAAGGAGCAGUCUGAGGAGCUGGAAUGCAGAAUGUUUUAGGUAGAAUGUGGCAAGGGAAGGGUCUUCAUUAUUUGCUCUCAGAGAGCUAGGUUGCUGUAGUGCCAGCUUAGAAUAUGCCAUACACUGAAGGUUGAUGUCAGUACACUGGUUUGGACCUUACCUUCUUUUCUGUUCCAUCUCUCCAAGCUGCCAUCCAGUGGCUCAUUUUGCUAUGAACUUAGAUUCUUGCGAAGAUAUAAAGACCUCUAGUCAAAAGGGAUUCUCUACCAGUAAAAUGUCAGAUCACAUGACAGGCUGGAGAGGGUGCCUGGCUUCUCCUUUGUUCUCUUCCAGAAGGGCCAUCCCUGGGAAAUGCUAGUCCUCUCCCUGCCUACAUCAUCCGGAGACUUUUCAUUUAAUGUCUAGACAUAAUUACUCUUUAGUACAAAGGAAAGUGAAAUCAUGGACACUAGAGAUUGUACAUGAUCCUGAAAGGUGCUAUGGGGAGAAUUUGUAGAUGGAGACUCUGACUUUAUGUGUGUUCAGCUGACUGGUUGCAGAGGAACCCUUUAAGGGCAAUGUGUUAUAACUAUAAAUAGGUCAUUGUGUUCUGGUACUAUUAGCAUAAUUGAUUAAGAGUCAUUAACCUGGUCUUUAGUCCUGGCUGGACUAAAUCUUGCUGUGUGACCUUCGGAUAGUUACUUAACCUCUUUGAACUCUAGUUUUAUCAUUUAUGAAAGUACAUAGAUCUAUUUGAUCUCCAAGUUUCCGUCCAUCUCUAAUUUUUCUCGUUGUUGCUCAAUGGAGACAUUUUGGCUGUAGUUUUCAAAACAUGAGGAAUGAGUGGAUGAAGUUUCACAUUUCAUCUUGAUUUUUGGAUUAAAAUGUGGAUAUUAUUCAAAUUCAAUAUGAAAUGGAAGGCAUAUCAAAUCAUUUCUUUCCUACCAGUGUAAUUCUAAUGUAAGUUUUCAAUCUUGCUAAGGAGAAAAAAAUGUCAAAUAUUUUUGUAAACAAACAGCUGAUAGGAAUGCUAGGUUUAUUUAAGUUUUGAAAAUCUGUGUCGAGGAAGUAGAAUCCUGUAGUUAUUAAAUCAAACAGCUGUAUUAGGAAUUCCUUACCCAAAUUAGGUAUUUACAGUACAUUUUUUUGUGGAAUGUUGGCUGGUUUCUCUACAGUUGUGAGGUGAUUUUGCUUCAUCUUGAAAAGACUGAAGCAUUGAGAGAGAGAGUACUAUGAAUAUUUUACCCUAAAUCCUACAUGCCUUUUAUUUUAGGGAAGAAAAAGUAAAACCUUUGGAAUCCAGGAAUAUAAUAUAGCCCAAUGUAGUAGAAGAAGGAAUGCUUGCGUGUUUAAUGCCCCACAAAUGGAACUUCAGAAAACCACAGUAGCUCUUAAAUGGUGCAUUGCAAGAAUAAAAACAUGAUCCAAUCCUAAAAGCAUUCCUUCUGGGUGGCUAGGCCUUUCUUUUCUCAGGAGUAAACCAAAUCUUAUACAACCUUUUAUAGAGUGAGGCCUAGAUUAUUCCAUUAUACUUAAAAAAAUAUGGAGAAGGAGCUAAGUGUUUCAGCAAAUUUUUAAGAUAAAUUGAAUCAAUAAGGCAGAAGCCAAGGAAGGGAGAAGUUCUAAUUCUAGGCCUUUGCUUUGGGCAGUGAUAUUAGAGACUAAUACAUAAAACAUGAAUUAUAAAUGCCUGGUUGCUCGUCUCUCUUCUUAACUAAACUGAGUUCCUUGAAGAAAGGGAUUUUGGCUUAUGUAUAUUUCUCUUUAUGGUGACCAAUACAUGCAUGAGAUGGGAUAUAGUAGAUCUCUAAUAGAAUUGAAUAGAAGGGGAAAAAAAUACCCAUCUCUUUAGACUAGAAGAAAAUAACAAUAGCAAUAAACAAGUGAGAAGAAUACACCAAAAUGUGGAAGAUGAAAUAAAAGGAAAUCUUAGCCUUGUGAAAUUAAGGAAUCUUGUGUUUGUUAGCAUUCAUAAUAUUCUGUUCAAAAUACCUCCAGAUUAUUUAAGUUUUUGUUUUGUUUUGUUUUUUAACUGGGAUGAAGUUUUGUGAAAAUAGAGGGUUUUAGAUUUCAGUGAACAAAGAAGUAGAUCCUGGAAAUUAAAUAUAGAUGAUCACAAAGUUUGGUCUUCAGGGAGCAGUGUACUAGAUGACAUUGUAUCCUGGGACCUUUAGAUGCUAGAAUUGGCCCAUUGCACAAACACAACGUUUUUAUUACCCUUUUGCUGACUGCUCUUAAGUUGGCAUUUUCAUACUAGCUUCCUGGUCAUCCAUCCUGGGGACAAACAGCCUGAUGUAGUGCAGGAAGAGAAUGCGAGAGCCCUGAAAACUAUUAUGUUUGGCAUUCUGGAAUAGUGGGCGAGUUCAUACAACAGAGUAUAUUUUCUUGUGCGUGUGUGUGUUUCUAUGUGUGUGUGUGUGUCAGUGUGUCUGUGUUUAUGCAUAUGCGUUUGCCUACUUGACCAAGUCCGUGACUACUCAAAGUGAAAGGAAAUUAAGGAAAAGAGUUGCAUGUUUUGUAACAUCAAAGCAAAGACACAGACGCUGAUGAAGUAUUUAGCAAUCCAUUUUCUGUCUCUGCUUUUAAGUAUGCUGCUGGUUUAUAAUAGUGCCUCGAAAAAGUUUGUGUGGUUUAAACACAAUUUUUACACUUUAAAUUGUGACUAUAAUCUCAGUUUUGGAGCGGGGGAUUCCUAAGAUAACUUUGUUUUAUAAAAAAUGAGGUCACCUAAAUGGUAGACUAUUAAUCCCAAGUGCUUUAAUUGUCAUCUAAAAACGUAAAGAAUAAAGUGUGCCAUUUCCUUUUUAUCUUUUUCCUUUGGCUUUGUUUUAGAAAAAAUAAUUUCCUUAUCAAUUCCGUAGACAUAGUGCUAGCUUAUAUCUUAAGAGGGGCUGCUAUCAGUUUUAGUACAUAGUUAAACUAUCUCUAUGGAGUAAGAGAAGGGAACUUUUUUGGCGUCAAACCCAAACAAAAUCUUAGUAAAAUUUAUCAUAAAUCUACUUGAUUACUGCAUUAUGUAAAUGCACUUAAUCCUACAAAUAGCUAACAAUGUGGCAUCUCUUUUAUAUUUUGAUACCAUAAAUGCAGCAUGUCACACAAAAUUUAAUGAAAAAUGGGAUUAAUUCAUUUGAAUGUAUUUGGUUCUUUUUGGGUUUUGUUUUCAUUUUCCCUGGCUAUGCUAGAGAUUAUAGAUAAUGAAAUUUCUCUAAUUUUUAAUUCCUUAGGUAUAGUGAAAAUGUGCUUCUUUUUAAUGGAGGUUAUAUGGAAACACAUCAUAUUAACUCUUUGUUUGUGGAAAUUUUCAAAUUAUUACUUAAACAUGGAGGAGGUUACUGUCCAGAUUUUAAAACUGGAAACGUCCCUGAUUCAGAC